rnacentral:rRNA from 1 species
AUUGAACGCUGGCGGCAGGCCUAACACAUGCAAGUCGAACGAGUGGGGGACGGGUGAGUAAUGUCUGGUAAACCGCCCGUUGGAGGGGGAUAACUAGUGGAAAGGGUAGCUAAUACCGCAUACCAUCGGAUGUGGCCAUAUGGGCUUGUCUAGUAUGGGGGGUAACGGCUCACCUGGACGACGCUCCCUAGCUGGUCUGAGUGGAGGACCAGACAAACUGGAACGGAGCCACGGUCCUGACUCUGACGGGAGGCAUCAGGGGGGAAUAUUGCACAAUGGGCGCAGGCCUGAUGCAGCCAUGCCGCGUGUAUGAAGAAGGCCUUGAGGUUGUAAAGUACUGUCAGCGAGGGGGCGUUACUCGCAGAAGAAGCACCGGCUAACUCCGUGCCAGCAGCCGCGGUAAUAC